UCCUGUGGAAGUGCGGCACGGCUCGAUGACGUCAUGUUGUUGAUCACGGAGCGUUGACGUUGGAUCCAUCGGCCGUCUACGGUACGUUCUGAGAGGGAGGAACGACACCUCAAGCAAUUGCUCGGUCGUCAGUCUGCAUGCAUGUGCAGCGUUGUCGCUUUCUCUCGGUGGACAAAGUAAACAGUACGUAGUGUUAAGCGCCCACCAUCCGCCCCCUAUAGGCCACAUAUCUGAAUUAUUUGUAUUCGACUUGCCUCCAUUGUUUAAGUCUUGUUGGUCGACCGAAUGACGCUAUCACACAGUACCUACACGACUCGCAUUACAUUUUUGUAAAUCAGCUGUACUGACAAUAAACACUGGUAAAUUAUUUUAAGAAACUAAUCUAUGCAAGCCAAAUAAAGAGGUGCAGUAAUUUCACCAAACACUAAUGGGCUUAAAAAGCAAAUGACAAUCACAUCAUCUACUUU